GAUGAACGCUAGCUACAGGCUUAACACAUGCAAGUCGAGGGGCAGCGGGAUUGAAGCUUGCUUCAAUUGCCGGCGACCGGCGCACGGGUGAGUAACGCGUAUCCAACCUUCCGUACACUCAGGGAUAGCCUUUCGAAAGAAAGAUUAAUACCUGAUGGUAUGAUGAGAUUGCAUGAUAGCAUCAUUAAAGAUUUAUCGGUGUACGAUGGGGAUGCGUUCCAUUAGGUAGUAGGCGGGGUAACGGCCCACCUAGCCGACGAUGGAUAGGGGUUCUGAGAGGAAGGUCCCCCACAUUGGAACUGAGACACGGUCCAAACUCCUACGGGAGGCAGCAGUGAGGAAUAUUGGUCAAUGGACGAGAGUCUGAACCAGCCAAGUAGCGUGAAGGAUGAAGGUCCUACGGAUUGUAAACUUCUUUAUAAGGGAAUAAACCCUCCACGUGUGGGAGCUUGUAUGUACCUUAUGAUAAGCAUCGGCUAACUCCGUGCCAGCA
rnacentral:rRNA from 1 species